UUGCCCCAGUAACGGCGAGUGAAGCGGCAACAGCUCAAAUUUGAAAUCUGGCCCCCAGGGCCCGAGUUGUAAUUUGCAGAGGAUGCUUUUGGCAAGGUGCCUUCCGAGUUCCCUGGAACGGGACGCCAUAGAGGGUGAGAGCCCCGUCUGGUCGGACGCCGAGCCUCUGUAAAGCUCCUUCGACGAGUCGAGUAGUUUGGGAAUGCUGCUCUAAAUGGGAGGUAUAUGUCUUCUAAAGCUAAAUACCGGCCAGAGACCGAUAGCGCACAAGUAGAGUGAUCGAAAGAUGAAAAGCACUUUGAAAAGAGGGUUAAACAGUACGUGAAAUUGUUGAAAGGGAAGCGCUCAUGACCAGACUUGGACCCGGUGAAUCAUCCAGCGUUCUCGCUGGUGCACUUCGCCGGGCUCAGGCCAGCAUCAGUUUGUCCCGGGGGAUAAAGGCUCGGGGAAUGUGGCUCCCUCGGGAGUGUUAUAGCCCCCCGCACAAUACCCUGGGGCGGACUGAGGUUCGCGCAUCUGCAAGGAUGCUGGCGUAAUGGUCAUCAGCGACCCGUCUUGAAACACGGACCAAGGAGUCGUCUUCGUAUGCGAGUGUUUGGGUGUCAAACCCCUACGCGUAAUGAAAGUGAACGCAGGUGAGAGCUUCGGCGCAUCAUCGACCGAUCCUGAUGUUCUCGGAUGGAUUUGAGUAAGAGCAUACGGGGCCGGACCCGAAAGAAGGUGAACUAUGCCUGUAUAGGGUGAAGCCAGAGGAAACUCUGGUGGAGGCUCGCAGCGGUUCUGACGUGCAAAUCGAUCGUCAAAUAUGGGCAUGGGGGCGAAAGACUAAUCGAACCUUCUAGUAGCUGGUUUC
rnacentral:rRNA from 1 species